ACCUUCAUUAAUUUAAUUUGAUACCGUUGCAGCAGACCGACAACGCGGGAAAUAAUUUUCAAUAAAUGAAAAAAGGAUCUCCAUGAUCCAUGCAGACUGUGGUCCAGCACUGUGACGAACUGGUAAGUGCCAAGUAGAUGGUUCACCUCGGUGUAUCCUCUAUGACUUCCCACAGCCGCCUCCCUCACUCAUCGCGGCAUCCCUCGCUCCAUGUCCCAGUAGCCAUUGCAACAGAGAGACGGGUUGACCCAUCGCGAUGUCUUCAUGAGGCUCUACCGUGGUUGAGUGACUCCCGGGGCCGUCUCCCGCGGAAACUCGCGCUCCAUGUCCAAGAUGCCAUAGUGAUAGAAAGACGGGUCGGCCCAUCGCGAGGACGCCAGUGAGCUCUCCCGCGGUCGAGGCACCCCAGAAGCUGGCAGAGAGAAGUAGCAUGAACCAGCUCGUAAUCCUGCUCACAUCACACUACCGGACCACUCUCAGCUGUUUCGCACACGCGAGAGUGUAAGACCACGAGACCAUUUCAACAACGUCAUCCCCAGAUACAGGUAAGACCCUGGUAAGUAUCAAGGCUAUAUUUCAGCUUCAUUUGAAAACAAUGAUAGGCAAGUAUACACACUCACACUAUUGCACGUUUUGUUUACGUGCACACGAACAUUAGCCCAUGGGCUGAAAAAUAUAUGCACAUUUAUAUAUGUGUGCCCACUCCUGCCUUAAGCGCACACACACGACACCUGACUCGAGAUACCUCUGAGGCAUGAUGUGGUCCCUGGGCAAAAAUGACUUGGCCCUCCGUAAAGAAAACCACUUAAAAUAAGUAUAAUCUAUAAAAUUUAAUUAAAAGCCAUUUUCUGUCUCUAACUCACUUGUUUUAUCUUAUGUUAGUUUAUGAUUCCAUAACAGCUGUUCUACAGUUCAACACUACCAAUGAACAUAUAAAAACGAUUCCCGAAACUUUACAGCUAAGUAUACAAACCAUAAAAAAAUAGUUCUAUAUACUAAUUCUUUUCCUAUCCCAACCUAUAGCUAACUAUUCUACUGCCUUACAUCUACCAACCUUGGAUCCAUAAGGAGGAUUUGGGAAACCCCAUUAACUGCUUAUCGUAAUUUAACCUAUUGAAUUCCAAUGCAAAGCUCAAAAAGAUGAUAGAAAGGGUAGCGCAUAUAAUCCUACUAUAAGAGUGGGGACAAGUGAGUGAAUAGCAAAACUAAGGUGAAAAGCGAAGCAUUUAAAGUCUCGAAAUAGAACUUGCCUUCUCUGCCAUAAUGGGAUUAUGUUUGCUUCUUCGGAUACAACUACAUGGCCGUUGUGUGAUUUGGCUUGGGUAUGGUUACAAAAAGCAGACGGACAGACCCAUCGCGAACGAAACACGGAUACUAAAAUCCAUACGAAUCGUGACUUACGGGAUGAAAAUGGUUAUCAAAACACCAUGUCACUCCACGCAUCUAAUAAGCCUCCGGUCACCUCCAGCUUGGCACGCGAUCCAAGUUUUCCAAUCGGGACUCAAUCCAGAGGUCAGUAAACUCUGAUCAGUUGCUGGUUGCCGCGAUUUAUUGAUGCGCCAUUCUUGUCGUGGCCUCUGGCGGGCGCUGGCUGUUGGCGUUUAAAGCACCGGCUGUGGCUCCGUCUGGUUCCAACACACCAUGUUCAGAGACAGCUGACAAAAAAAAUCAAAUAUAAACCAGCUCUGGAUGGAACGGAAAAACAGGGUCACGCACUGCUUAAAGCAGCUACAUUGAAAUCUUUCACGCUCGCACUUAUCGCCUUGAUCCGCUCUUCAGUGGGCACUGAGAUACUCCUCACCUUACCUUAACAACUACUCCUCCAUUGUGGAAUGAGAACUAGUCGAAGAUUUCAUUUCAACGUUAUAAAAAUGGUCCAGCCGGUCUUCCUGAAGUAUUGGUCUCCCUUUUGGCAAAGGAUAUUUUCGCCGGCGUCAGUGCUGGAGCGGCUGAGCGAUGUCAACGCCUUCCCUCUUGUCUGUCCGUCCGUCUAGUUGUGGGCCUAAGUUCGUAAAGCGAACACCACAUGCAGUAGGGGCUCCUUUGCGCCCCAAAAGCUAGAACUGCUACUCCUCUGGCCCUAGGUUGAGCCAACCCUAACAGCUUAGGAAAACGCCUAUUUGCUCUCGCGUCGUUUACAAAAAACCUAAGGGAAAGCAAAUUGUCUACAAGUCCUGUCCAUCCGUAGGAGUCUUGUAUGCGUCCCGUAAAUGUAUGCAAGAAGAAAGGGGUACCUGGCGCACUGUCAGCUGACCAGUGCUUGUGAUGUCACCUAGUAGUCGGUUGUUCCAACGUUGGUCAGCGGAGGUGGAGAAGCUUUUAUUUUUGGCGUUUGGUUUUUGUUUUAUUUAGCUUAACAAUUUUAAAUUUUUUCUUUAGCAAUUUUUCUUUCAGGUUUUAAUAAUUUUCAAUUCUUUUUAAUUAUUUAAAGG